UGAGGAAUAUUGGGCAAUGCCCGCAAGGGUGACCCAGCAACGCCGCGUGGAGGAUGAAUGUCGUAAGAUUGUAAACUCCUGUUAGAGGGGAAGAAUAGUACCGGUUGGACCGGUAUAUGACUGUACCCUCAGAGAAAGCCCCGGCUAACUACGUGCCAGCAGCCGCGGUAAUACGUAGGGGGCAAGCGUUGUCCGGAUUUACUGGGUGUAAAGGGCGCGCAGGCGGGAUAAAAAGUCAGUGGUGAAAUCCUACAGCUUAACUGUAGAACUGCCUUUGAUACUUUUAUUCGUGAGUUCGGGAGAGAGAGACGGAAUUCCAGGUGUAGUGGUGAAAUACGUAGAUAUCUGGAAGAACACCAGUUGCGAAGGCGGUCUCUUGGUCCGACACUGACGCUGAGGCGCGAAAGCGUGGGGAGCAAACA
rnacentral:rRNA from 1 species